AAACAUUUGGGGACGGAGCAACACGGAAGAGAAGCGGACCUCAAAGACUACACAUGCCCUCAGGGACUUUCUGCAGAUUUACACUUCAGCUCGGCUUCUACAACAUACGAUGUUGUAUUAAAAGCAUGCAUGGCCCAGUGCAAAGCAAGCAGAGUGAUGCUACGCGUUGGGAUUGCUUCAGGACCUGCAGGCAGCCGGCUGUGAUGAGACAAAUUGCACUUUUGCUUGGCCCUGACAUCUUUGGCGAUCUGCAUCUUGCCAAGGAGCCCUCAGAGACUAGGAAGGAAAGGAACUGCCCCGAUUGUACCAUUGAUGAUGUCCACUGGGUGGGAGAAACAUCAGACCGUUAUCUCGAGCCUCCUCUGGGUCCCGCGCCUCUUAACCUCUGCUCUCCUCCUGGUCAACACACUCUGGACAAAGUCAAUUUCCCCGCAGCACUCCCUCAUCCACUCGCAAUGUUUAUGGAACUCCCUCUGCAGAGAAAGGCAGCUCAUUUAGAGCUAUAUGCUUGUGUCACCUGGUGAACCUCAUGCCCUUGGACCCCGAUCGGAACUGCUAUGGGUCAGAGGUCGAUGUCUGGCCCCCGGCUUAUCAAAGCGGUGUUUAUUUAAAGUCUAUGAGCCACAAUGGACGACAACAAACAGAAGGACCACAGGCAAUGGAGCAAUUUGGAGGCAAAUCCCUCUUAGAAAUAUGGAUUAGGCGUUUGUUUUUCAGAGUGUAUACCUGUGGAAAUGUCAGCAGUGUCACUAUCAAUUCUGGUGACGAUGGCUUGCUUUGCUCUGGAUUACUGUAAGGUGAGCGCUCCUCGUCACCGCGUGACAGUCACUGAGGACUUGCAGAGGAAUUGAAUUCGGAUUGGUGUUUACAGGAUUUUCUUGGCUAAACAAUCUGCCUUGAUUGACACUUACGUGAGCAGCUCAUAAAGAUAAUGAAGUAAAGGGCAGCAGGGUUUGCCGUCGGCCUUAGAAUCCAGACGCGUCCAUGGAGAUAUCUGAUAUUUUUUUCCAUUGCACAUUGCGCUAGAUAAAUCUAACACUCCCUCCUGCACGUUUAAUCCCACAGAACUGUAGAAACACUUGUAAUACAAACAUUAGCCUUGUCAUAAAUAUAUCAGACAAACAGCUUGUGGCUCCAUGAAACCUGGAGGCCCCGUUCUAAGAUUUCCUCAGUAAUUUAUUGAAGUAAUAACCAUGGUGCUGAAGAAGGAAAGGAGGGAUUACAGUUUUCUCCUCCUUGAAUUUUCUGACAGCAUCCACUCAACUGAAAAAACAAUUAUAUAUAGGCAGAGAGCUGUUUGGGUUGUUUUAAUUCUUCUGUAAAGGACUUUGGUCAGUGAAAAUUGUGUUUUAAAUGUGCUUUAUAAAUAAAAAUGUCUUAGUAACUUACUCAUUCACUGUUGCACUCACACUCUAAGUGUAAUUAUCUGCUUCGGUGUGUAUUAAUAUGCAUAUUUCACAAGUGCAAUGCAAACUAUUACCUAACCUGCACAGGUAAACACUAUAUUUUAAACACUAUUAUUUUUGUAUUACUGACAAAUCCUCUAGUUUAGACAAACACUGUGAUACUGGUCAUACCCUUCCUCUUCUAUAUACAAUAUUAUAUACAGUAUAUUUUAAUAAAUAUGUUGCAUUGUCUGUGUUGUACACAAACAGGAUAGUUAUCAACAUAUGUUUAUAGCGUUAUAUCCUUUAUUAUUUUAUUUUAGUAAAGCUCCAUAAUAGGAGAGCUCAGAACUUUUAAAGCUUUGCGUAAAAACCUGACAUAUAGAUUCAUCUGUUGAAAAUAAUGAAUAAUACACUGAAUGUUGCUGCUUUGCUGCUGGCAAACCCUAGGUUUCGUGAUAUAUGUUACCAGUCAUAGAUGUAGAAAUAUUGAUAUGUUUAUGGUUUUAUAAUCUUGUAGGUUUUGUGUCUGUUGUUUUAAUUAUUUGGGCCCUUGAGUCUGGCAAUAAAGUGAACUUAAUACCAUAACAGUCAGGGAGUCACAGAGCGGGAGAGGGAGGACAGCGCAUCCCGAGAAAAGGUGAGGAGGCAAUCAUGCUUGACUCGACUUUAUUUACCCGCCAGUCUGCACUGUAUGUAGCCACACAUGGUGUCAGGGAUGGUUCCCCUGGUUUAUUUACUCUCAUCGCUGGAUCUCUGGCGAGCUGUGUGUGGCCUGCAUGCCCCUGUGUUGUAAAGACCCUGCCAGAGGAAAUGUAACGUUUUACAGUACUCUGCGCUGGUGACAGAUCCAGGAGCACACAUGGCCGGUGCAGCUCAAACACAAGGAUGGAGAGAGAUGGAUUUCAGACUUCAGGUGUGAGUGAACAAUGAAGGAUGUAAACACAGGUCAGAGGUGUUUGUUCUCUCUUUACUAUAAUAUA